GCCCGCCUAGCUCAAUCGGAUAGAGCGUCAGACUCUUACGGUCUUGUAAUAGGCAGGGUAUCUGAAGGCUGCGAGUUCGACCCUCGCGGUGGGCU
rnacentral:tRNA from 1 species